GUGGUUUAAUUCGAAGCAACGCGCAGAACCUUACCAGCCUUUGACAUGGCAGGACGAUUUCCAGAGAUGGAUCUCUUCCAGCAAUGGACCCUGCACACAGGUGCUGCAUGGCUGUCGUCAGCUCGUGUCGUGAGAUGUUGGGUUAAGUCCCGCAACGAGCGCAACCCUCGCCUUUAGUUGCCAUCAUUCAGUUGGGCACUCUAAAGGGACUGCCGGUGAUAAGCCGCGAGGAAGGUGGGGAUGACGUCAAGUCCUCAUGGCCCUUACGGGCUGGGCUACACACGUGCUACAAUGGUGGUGACAGUGGGAUGCGAAAGGGCGACCUCUAGCAAAUCUCCAAAAGCCAUCUCAGUUCGGAUUGCACUCUGCAACUCGAGUGCAUGAAGUUGGAAUCGCUAGUAAUCGUGGAUCAGCAUGCCACGGUGAAUACGUUCCCGGGCCUU
rnacentral:rRNA from 1 species